AUGUAUACAUAUAUACUUGUUAUGCAAGCAAACAAUGUGCAUGUCCAAGUGAAUGGUGAAUUAGUGGCAAUUGACACGAGAAUAUUUAUAUAUGUAUACACAUAGAACACAACUUGUAUAUUUACUAUAUGUAUGAGCAAAUACGACUAAGUUCAAGCCUGUAUACCAAACCGAAAUCGAAAUAAAUGCGCAAUUUUGGUUUUUGUAAGCGAGGUCGAUUUGUUAUGUUACUAGCAGUUAAACUUUGGACAGCAGCCGGGAUAAGGCUUGGUCAGGUCCUCCUCCAUUUUGCAGGGC